AGGGAAAGCGGGGGGCAGGCCUAACACAUGCAAGUCGAGCGGAUGAAGGGAGCUUGCUCCUGGAUUCAGCGGCGGACGGGUGAGUAAUGCCUAGGAAUCUGCCUGGUAGUGGGGGAUAACAUCCGGAAACGGGCGCUAAUACCGCAUACGUCCUGAGGGAGAAAGUGGGGGAUCUUCGGACCUCACGCUAUCAGAUGAGCCUAGGUCGGAUUAGCUAGUUGGUGGGGUAAAGGCCUACCAAGGCGACGAUCCGUAACUGGUCUGAGAGGAUGAUCAGUCACACUGUAACUGAGACACGGUCCAGACUCCUACGGGAGGCAGCAGUGGGGAAUAUUGGACAAUGGGCGAAAGCCUGAUCCAGCCAUGCCGCGUGUGUGAAGAAGGUCUUCGGAUUGUAAAGCACUUUAAGUUGGGAGGAAGGGCAGUAAGUUAAUACCUUGCUGUUUUGACGUUACCAACAGAAUAAGCACCGGCUAACUUCGUG
rnacentral:rRNA from 1 species